rnacentral:rRNA from 1 species
GACGAACGCUGGCGGCGUGCUUAACACAUGCAAGUCGAGCGGAAAGGCCCUUUCGGGGGUACUCGAGCGGCGAACGGGUGAGUAACACGUGAGUAAUCUGCCCUUGGCUCUGGGAUAACCACCGGAAACGGUGGCUAAUACCGGAUAUGACGGGCUCCGGCAUCGGGGUUCGUGGAAAGUUUUUUCGGCCAGGGAUGUGCUCGCGGCCUAUCAGCUUGUUGGUGGGGUAAUGGCCUACCAAGGCUUCGACGGGUAGCCGGCCUGAGAGGGUGACCGCCACACUGGGACUGAGACACGGCCCAGACUCCUACGGGAGGUAGCAGUGGGGAAUAUUGGACAAUGGC